GAUGAACGCUGGCGGUAUGCCUUACACAUGCAAGUCGUACGAGAGUUUUAACUCUAGUGGCGGACGGGUGCGUAACACGUAAGAAUUUACCUUUAGGAGGGGGAUAACAACUGGAAACGGUUGCUAAUACCCCAUAUGCUUUUAAGUGAAAUGGAAUUUUCCGCCUAGAGAGAAGCUUGCGGCUGAUUAGCUUGUUGGUAAGGUAAUGGCUUACCAAGGCGACGAUCAGUAUCUGGUUUGAGAGGACGAUCAGACACACUGGAACUGAGACACGGUCCAGACUCCUGCGGGAGGCAGCAGUGGGGAAUUUUCCGCAAUGGGCGAAAGCCUGACGGAGCAAUACCGCGUGAGGGAUGACGGCCUAUGGGUUGUA
rnacentral:rRNA from 1 species